GUUAUGGGUACUGUGCAGUUUUUUUAGAUUUUUCAUAAGUAUGUUUACAAGUGGUAGAGGUAUUGAAUUCAAAAAGGUUACCAAAGUUGUAAAGGUGGUGGAUGG